GGAUGAGGUAGAGGUCGCGGAUAUAAAGAGUACGCGCGAGGAGACGCUAUAAGAGCCGUCUGUGAAACGCCGCCGAAAGGAAUAUCCGCCGAAGUCUGCGCCGCUGCUCUUAUUAUGCUGCGCCGGCUGGGGCCGUUGCCGAAAGGUACGGAACUGUCACAGGGCAUGGCCCGUCAGGAAACUGCGUCCAGGCACUGUGUUGCGCUAUCUGAACA
rnacentral:ncRNA from 2 species